UGGAGAAGCUGAGUUGUCGCUAUUAAUUAGAGGAAAGUCCGGGCUCCAUGAAGAAAAGGUGCUGGCUAAUGACCAGCGGACGUAAGUCUAGGGAAAGUGCCACAGAAAAGAUACCGCCUACUAUGUAGGUAAGGGUGAAAUGGUGUGGUAAGAGCACACCGCUAUUUUGGUAACAAGGUAGGCAUGGUAAACCCCACCUGGAGCAAGUUCGAGCAAAGAGUUAGAUCUUCACAAUUACCUCUUGGGUUGAACGCUAUAAUUUUGCAGCAAUGCACGAUAGAGAUAAAUGACAACAUAAUUACAGAACCCGGCUUAUAGGCUUCUCUUUUUU
rnacentral:RNase_P_RNA from 1 species